AUAUUAUUCUUAGUUUUUUCUAAGAGUGCUAUGUAUUGUUAGGCAGUCAUUUCUUAGCCAUAGUUACCUAAUUGGCAAACCUUUUGUGUAACUCAAAAGGGAUCAGAUGUUACUAUAAGAGUUCACCUUCACCUGAGGUAUUUUCUUCUUAGGAUAUCUCCCUGACACACGCCACACCACACAUACACAUACACACAGCAAAGGCUUAACCACCGUCUGCUUGCUCUGUUAGACAUGAAUCAGGAACAGUGCCUCAGACUUUUUCUGUCCUGGUUAUUAAGGAAUGAGCCUAUUAGAUUUUUCUUUAUACUCUCUGCUCUUGGAAAACAAAUAGUAUUCUAAUGACAGGAUUUACUUCUUUUUUUAUUGGGAAUGCUGAGUUAUAGAGAACUAUCCACCCAAUUCAUGCAAACAUUCAUUUGGUAAGUGAAAAUAACUUCAUUUACUUGAGCAUUUUCUUUCUUUAGUAAAAUGCUAUAAAGGUUUAGUCCUAGUCUCUUUAUCAACCAUUGUUAGACUUCUGCUGAUGAGCAGAGAGGAACUUACCAAGUGGUUGUGAUGGUUGACAAAGAAAUUUGACCAUUGCAUGCCGACCAUUCAUCAUGGAAUUUGCUUUCCCUACUUGGUUUAAGUAUGUGCAAUUUCUCUCUCUUUUUUUUUUUUAACCUUUUAUUUAUAAAUAAUUUCAGACUUAGAGAAAAGCUACACAAAUAGUACCACAAACAUUGCAUAACCUUUACCUAAAUUCAUCUAUUGUCUGUUGUGCCUGUUGUUUUAUCAUUUGCACAAUUCCUCCCUUUCCUUCCUUCUCUACACUUUGAACCGCCUGAAGAUGCAUA
rnacentral:lncRNA from 1 species